rnacentral:misc_RNA from 1 species
AACCUUAUGGACCUGCGGGCGUAUACCUGCGGAGGGAUCAUUACAAGUGACCCCGGUCUAACCACCGGGAUGUUCAUAACCCUUUGUUGUCCGACUCUGUUGCCUCCGGGGCGACCCUGCCUUCGGGCGGGGGCUCCGGGUGGACACUUCAAACUCUUGCGUAACUUUGCAGUCUGAGUAAACUUAAUUAAUAAAUUAAAACUUUUAACAAUGGAUCU